rnacentral:rRNA from 1 species
CCUACGGGUGGCAGCAGUGAGGAAUAUUGGUCAAUGGACGAGAGUCUGAACCAGCCAAGUAGCGUGAAGGAUGACUGCCCUAUGGGUUGUAAACUUCUUUUAUAUGGGAAUAAAACGUUCCACGUGUGGGAUUUUGUAUGUACCAUAUGAAUAAGGAUCGGCUAACUCCGUGCCAGCAGCCGCGGUAAUCCGGAGGAUCCGAGCGUUAUCCGGAUUUAUUGGGUUUAAAGGGAGCGUAGGUGGAUUGUUAAGUCAGUUGUGAAAGUUUGCGGCUCAACCGUAAAAGUGCAGUUGAAACUGGCAGUCUUGAGUACAGUAGAGGUGGGCGGAAUUCGUGGUGUAGCGGUGAAAUGCGUAGAUAUCACGAAGAACUCCGAUUGCGAAGGCAGUUCACUGGACUGCAACUGACACUGAGGCUCGAAAGUGUGGGUAUCAAACAGGAUUAGAUACCCCUGUAGUC